GAAAAACAGAGGGGGGCCUCAAUUUUCUUUCUCAACCCCCUCCCCCUUUUCUCAAAUGGCCGACGGUCCUAAGACCUCCGGCGCGCCACCGACAAAGCCAGCGACCGGCGCUGGAAAAUGGGGGCCGUUAGCCCCUGUCCCGCGGCGUCCUUGAGAGCCAAGACUCUCUCCACCCUUGGAAGUCGAAAAUAAAGGAGGUUCUCGGCCUCUUAGCCCGACUUGGACGACGGAGGAGAGACCCUCCGACGACGGAACCAAGACCGCUUCCAGUGAGAUCCCUUCCCUUUUAUUUCGCUUUCGAUUGUUAUUAGUUAUUUAGAAUGGAUUUGCAAAAAAUAAAAAAUAAAGAAAUAAAACAAAUGAACAAAAUCAGAAAAAAGAAAGAAAUGACAAAGAAACGAAGAAAACAAUUCAAAAUCAACCUUUUUCUUUUAUCUUGAUUUUAUUUGAUUUCAAUAUCUGUGUAUUCGUAAAAAAAGUAGAAGAAGAAUACAAUGGUUUCCUUCGGCCUUUUAUAGCCGAUUUAAAAAAGAAAUUAAAUUUCUUCUUUUGUCGUUUUGUUGUUUGGACUGUUCUUUGUUCUUGCAGGAGGUCUGACGCGCGUGAAGGGCUAGUGAUAGGCGAACGGUGGCGGCGAGCAUGCGAGGAGGUGCCUGGCAGAGCACGCGACGCUGGGAGUGGUAGACGAGGAGGCAUGCGGCGCAAAGAAAAACCAAGGUUUUCUGCUGCUAAAAUUUUAGUUUCCUGGGCUAGGUUUUUUUAUUUGGGUUUGGGCUUGAGUUUGUAAAUGGACUGUUAAUUUUGGGUUUAUUAUUUGGGUUAUUUUAUUGGUAUAGGCCCGGGCAGAUUUUGGGCUUUACAGUUGCCCCUCUUUGCUCGUUGUCGUGUAACGAAAACAGAGCAAAGACCAAGAAAGACCAAAUUUGCCCGGGCUUACCGAGCCUUGGCUUCUUUUGGUACUUUUCUUCUUCAAGUAGCCUCGUUCUGUUCUGCUGUGUCUCGUUGCUUCAAUCCACUUCACUGCGUUCUAGAGAAACAUGACUUAAAUCUAUUCUGCUGCAACUCCAUGGAGAUGAGAUUUGUGGUUUUAGUCUGCUCCACUACUGCUUAGGGAGAUAAGACUUGAUGUGAUCUACUCCACUACUGCUUAGGGGAAUAAGAUCUGUGGUUCUAUCUGCUCCACUAUUGCUUGGGGAGGUAAGACUUGAAGCGAUCUGCUCCACUAUUGCUUAGGGAGAUAAGAUCUGUGGUUUUGUCCGCUCUGCUACUGCUUAGGGAGAUAAGACUUGAUGCGAUCCGCUCCACUAUUGCUUAGGGAGAUAAGAUCUGUGGUUUUGUCCGCUCCGCUACUACUUAGGGAGAUAAGACUUGAUACGAUCCGCUCCACUAUUGCUUAGGGAGAUAAGAUCUGUGGUUUUCACUCUAUUCCACUAUUGAAUGCAGGGAGAUAGAGUUAUCGGCUUCAAUGUACUCCACUGUAGUCAGGGAGGUAAAAUCCGCCAUCGUCGAUCUGCUUCGCUGCCCAAUACAGGAAGGCAAGAUCUGCAAUCCUCAAUCUAUUCCACUGUCAAAUACAGGGACAAAAUCUGCUUUCUUCGAUCUACUUCACCACCAGUAUGGGAAGACAAGAUCUGCUUUCUUCGAUCUACUUCACCACCAGUAUGGGAAGACAAGAUCUGUAUCUUGGAUCCACUUCCUAUCAAUAUAGGAAGAUAGGACCUGCUAUCUUCGAUCUACUUCACGCCAAUACAUGAAGACAAGAUCUGCUUUCUGCGAUCUACUUCGCCACCAAUAUGGGAAGACAAGAUCUGCAUCGUCGAUCCACUUCCUACCAAUAUAGGAAGACCGGACCUGCUAUCUUCGAUCUACUUCACGCCAAUACAUGAAGACAAGAUCUGCUUUCUGCGAUCUACUUCGCCACCAAAUGGGAAGACAAGAUCUGCAUCUUCGAUCCACUUCCUACCAAUAUAGGAAGAUAGGAUCUGCUACCUUCGAUCUACUUCACGCCAAUACAUGAAGAUAAGAUCUGCUUUCUGCGAUCUACUUCGCCACCAAUAUAGGAAGACAAGAUCUGCAAUCUUCAAUCUAUUCCACUGCCAAAUACAGUGAGAUAGAGUUAUCGACUUCAAUCUACUCCACUGUAGUCACAGGGAGGUAAAAUCUGCCAUCUUCGAUCUGCUUCGCUGCCAAAUACAGGAAGGCAAGAUCUGCAAUCUUCAAUCUAUUCCACUGCCAGAUACAGGGAGAUAGAGUUAUCGGCUUCAAUGUACUCCACUGUUGUCAGGGAGGUAAAAUUUGCCAUCUUCGAUCUGCUUCGCUGCCAAAUACAGGAAAGAAAGAUCUGAUAUCUUCAACCAGCUCUGCUACAAACGAGAGAGGCAAGGUUUGUCUUCGAUCUGCUUCGCUGUCAGUGCAGGAAGGCAAGAUCUGCUAUCUUCAACCAGCUCUACUACAAACGAGAAUGGCAAGGUUUGUCUUCGAUCUGCUUCGCUGUCAAUGCAGGAAGGCAAGAUCUGCUAUCUUCAACCAGCUCUACUACAAACGAGAGUGGCAAGGUUUGUCUUCGAUCUGCUUCGCUGUCAAUGCAGGAAGGCAAGAUCUGAUAACUUCAACCAGCUCUGCUACGACCGAGAGAGGCAAGGUUUAUCUUCAAUUUUUACUGAUCUGUUCUCUAGGGAACAUGACCUGUAUAAUGAACCUAAUUAUGCCUAAUGAUUAGGAUGGCAUGAUCAAAAUGAAUCAAAUGCUCCUAACUAGACAUGCGUGAAUGGUAUUUGAAUGAAUGCAGAAUGUCAUGAAAAUAAUUCCUUAAUGCUUAGGUUAUCAUCGCUCAAAAGCUUAUUAAGGCUUUAUCACUAACGUGUCGCAACGCCUUCUUGACCAGCCGGCAUUUCUAAAGAAACACGUAAUCUGAUUGCCCCCACUGUGAACAUCGUAGUUCAAUCCUAUUGUGACAUAAAAUUUGUACCAUCAAUCUCCUACUGUAACCCAAGGGUAAAAAGAUAUGGCUUUUUUCAAUCUUCUCCUAUCGUAAUUCAAGGGUAUAAGAUUUAAAUCCUUCUGGUCCCUUACAUCGUUCCCAAGGUGUCGUACCAAAGACUCAUGCGCAAACAAGGGCUCUCCUUCCCGAGGUAACCUCUUCCUAUUGCCUGAAGAUCAUCACUUUCUUGUUUAUUCAAGCUUUGUCACCAACAUGGCAUCUUGUCAAUCAACGCAUUUGACGACAAAAAUCCAAAGAGAAAGUCUAAAUUUAGACUAUUCCUUCCCAAAUUUCUAACCUUUAAAUUUGGAGUGUUCUAAACAAUUGUCCUGCUUCAGGCUCCUAUAUUAUUUAGAAACUUUUCAGAGUAAUAUGCAAAACUUCCUUCGUGAAAAUUUUAUUAGUCCAUUAAUCAUUAUUCCAAUGCAACAUGCUUGCAAAAGAUCAUAACGAUAGAUAAAAUAGAAUUGAUUUGAGAGCAUAGCUCAAAAUGGAUAAACUAUCAAGGAUAGCAAGAAUAAAAGGGGAAUUAAUUGGGAACACGUAUCUUGAAAAAGAAUGAAGUAUUCCAAGAAGAAAAAAAAAAGUAUGAGGACAAGAUGCCCCAGAUAUCGUAGCUUGAACUUCUCUGUACCAACUCUUUGAAAGACCAUUCUGUGUUUGACAUGUGUUUAGGAGAUCUACAAGACUUUGUCGAUGCCCCAAGAUGCUACUUACCCUUUCCUGUUGAAUCAGGUAUAGCAAGAUCAUUACAUGCCCCGAUUUGAUCAAAAUUUGAGCUGCUCUGAUCGCCUCAUGCCCCAAUUUGAUCCAAAAUUUGAGUCACCCUUUUUUUUGGGUUUUCAACUCAAGCCCCUUUGGUCUCAAGGCGCCCUUUGCGGGUUUUCACCUUGGCCUCUCCUUUUUUCACUCAUUUUUCUUUUCUUCUUUUUCAUUAAUUUUCUCUUUUUUUUAAGUGAAGUAUUUGUUCCUUGAAUCAAAAUUCUCAAGAUUAGGCAAGUUCUUGCCAUCUAUCUUGGUUAAUACCUACACUCUCCCAGAUAAAGCCUUCCACAUAAGGUCCUUCUGGCUUGGCAUCCACUUUCUUCUGAAGUCCCCUUUGUAUGGGAAGGAUCUUCUUUGAUAUCGGGUCCCCUUUGUGGAAUUCUCUGGAGCAAACCUUGUUUUGGUGAACUCAUACCAUUUGCUUUUGGUACAUUUGACCAUGAUAGAUAUUUUGAACAUUCCUCUUCAACCAGGAUCGGAUCCAAAAACUCAAAGAGAAGGAAAUCUUGACCUCAAUAGGUGAAACCGCGAUAAGCCCAAAAAGAGGGCGUUGCCCUGAGAGAGUUUUUUUUUGGCGAUAUGGUGUUAAUCUUGAACAGACUGCAAACUUCUGAUAUUGUGCUAUUGUUCAAAUUUAGUGCAUUGUCAAAUAUGAUCCUUUUCGACUUUUCAAGCUGACUGUGAUUUUUUCAAAAAAAUUGCUGUCGACUUUGUGACAUUGGCAUAUGAAGCAGCUUCUUCCCGUGAAGAUAAAUUGAUGACCGCUAGACUCUUUUGACGAGAUUGACCUAACAACCUUUAUGCCCCACAUAGGGGAAGUCAUAGACUCCAUUGAUUUUUCGUAAGGUGGAAUCUGUUUUUCACCUUGUUCUACCCUCCUCAAUAAGUACGGAGAUAGGCCACAAUCUAUGUCCUCUUCGAAGUCAUGAGAUUCCUCUAAACACAUGUCUCACUCAAAAGGAGGUUCUGAGUUUGUAGCAGUGUCAUUCAUGUCGUUGAUAUUCAGGGACCCGUUAUAGGUGCAAAAGAAUAUACAAAGAAUGUACGAAUUUAAGAAUAAUUAUCUGUACAGUAUGAUUAUGAAUGAAUGAAUGAUUUGGAAGAAAGAAUGAAAGAUUAAAAAUAAUUAUUCAUAAAGAAUGAAAGAAUAUUAGCUCAAAAAUGAUCGCAAAGAUGCAUUUCAUUAAAAUAACGACGUUCAGACAUGAGCCUAUUUCACAAAAAGAGUUCAUAUUGCUUCAGGCUAAAAGCAAUAAGUUUAUUCUGAAUAUUACUCUAAGUAGGUUCUAAAUACUACAGAGACUUCUUUUACAGUCUGAUUUAUUUAGAACACUUCCAAGUUUAUAAGGGUCGAUAUCUAAUAAAGUCCCUUCUUCAAUUGUGUCUUCAUGCAUGUCAUUGAUGUGAACACUUCCCAACAUCUCUUCAUACAUCGCAUUCACCUUAUUGUCAAUCAUGAUUGGGUAGCAGAUUUUCUGCCGUAGAUGAGUCACCCAACUUGAAAAUACCCAUGUUGAUGAGUUUUUCAACUAGUUUCUUGAAGGUGACGCAAUUCUCUAUUGAGUGCCCCGUAAUUCCUGCGUGGUAGUCACAGUGUGUGUUCGCAUUAUACCACUUUGGAUAUGGAGGUUGUGGGGGUUUUGAGUAGGAAGGGGAAACAACAUGCGCAUCGAAUAAAUUUUGAUACAACUCUUCAUAUGACAUUGGAAUUGUUGUGAACUGGAGGUUCUCAGUACCUGGUUUCACUCCAGGUUCUUGUCUCAAAUAGCCUUGUUGGUUAGCGACCAUUUUUCUUGGCUGAUUCACCGUAAUUGGUUUUGAAUAACCCUUGCUAUAUGUACUCGUGUUGUUCACCUCAUUGUCUUUGUGCUUUGGGGUUGAUCUCUUGAUGCCUUCUUCCGCAUCUAUCUUCCCACUUCUUAUUGCAUUUUCAAUCAUUUCACCAGACAUCACUACAUCUGAGAAGCUCAUGGUAGCACUUCCUAACAUGUGGUUAAUGAACGGUGCUUUCAGAGUGUUGAUGAAAAGCAUCGUGGUUUCUUUCUCUAAAAGAGGUGGCUGAACCUGUGUCGCGACCCCUCUUCAUCUUUGGGCAUAUUGCCUAAAGCUCUCACUUUGCUUCUUUUCCAUGUUCUGCAAUGUGAUUCUAUCGGGUGUCAUAUCUGUCACAUGGUUGUACUGCUUUAUGAAAGCCUGUGCUAAGUCCUUCCAUGAAUGGAUGUUGACGCGGCUUAACUGGUUGUACCACUUAGCUGCAGACCCGAUCAGACUGUCCUGGAAGCAGUGGAUCAACAGUUGAUCAUUGUUGAUGUAUUCUGUCAUUCUUCGACAGAACAUAGUUAUAUGAGCUUCAGGACAACUAGUCCCGUUGUACUUUUCAAACUCCGGCAUUUUGAAUUUGGGAGAGAGUACUAGAUCAGGUACCAAACUCAAGUCCUUGGCGUCGAUUCCACAAUGGUAGUUGGUGUUCCCCAUGGCUCUAAAUUUCUCCUCUAGCCAUCUACAUCGGUCCUCAAGUUGUUUUGACAAGUCCGUUUUCGCUUUCUCCAUCUCUGCCAUGUUAUUGAGAUCAGGAAACACGGGGUUGGUAGGAUUAUCACCGGGAUUAGAACCCGAGCCUACUGGAAAGUUCAUCGAUGCCGGGGCACCGACCUGGUAUUGGGAUCUAAUGGUAACAGGUGCCCUCUGCGGGUACACCUCUGGUUGCGCUUGGAUGUUAGUUGGGGUGAAACCUGGAGGAUAGGCAGGGUCAUCGUGAUCAUCCCCAGCAUCAACUAAAGGGCCUUUUCCUUUGUCAUUCCUUCUAGUCAAUAACUGCUUUACUUGGUUCAUCACAGUGUUCUGGGAUUCUAACAUGUCUUGCUGGAUUUUUUCCAGUCGUUCGUGCAUCUGAUCUUGCAUCUCUCGUUGCAACUGUUCCAAUCUUUCCAACCUUUGAUCCAUUGCUUUCGUUUGGCGACGAGUACCGUAGUGAUAUUUGAUUAGAUUUUUGGUGGUUUCCAGGGUAACUGAAAUAAUUUUACCUAGUUAGGGUCACUUCGUGAAAGUCUAAUGCAUAUGAUGCAAUGUAAUGCAAAUGCAUGAAAUGAAUGCCAAAAGAAACGUUGAUUCUUGGUUCAAUUCUAUUAGAACAACUGGAAUAGAAAACAAAUCCAUUUACAUAAAGCAGAUAUAUAUACGGCUUUGCCGUCAUAGGCGGGGACAUUCGAUCCUCUUCUUCAUUCGAGCGUUAAGAUAAAUCUCCCGAACUCUUCAAAAGGGAUAUCCCUUCUAUCUCUUUUUUCUUCAUAUGGGCCGCGACUCGUUACUCACUCAUCCUUGUGAUGCUCGUUGGCUUCUCUUUAAAAAGUUUAGCGGUUCUCGAAUAAUCUUUGUCAUCUUGAGUCUUCAGGCAACGAGGCAAAGUCGUAUAGUCCUCUACUGAACUAUCAUCCUUCUUUUGUUAUAUCUUCUCGGACCGUAUUAGGACAACCGUAUCGUCAUCCACUUUAUCAAGAAACCCAUUUUCUUAUGACAAGCUCUCUAUUUAGCAAUUGAACGUGAAUCAACACCUCUUUUAUGAUGAAAAUGCAAUGCAAUCAUGACAAAAAGAAAACAUGUUAGUACAAAGCAAAAGCAAGCAAGAAUAAAUAGAACACCUAUUUGGGUGAAUACUAGGGGUUCGAAGUGGUUCUACCUAGGGUGAGCUCCUAAGGUUCACUACAUGAGGUUUGGUUCUAAAGUAAGGGUACCUGAACCAGCAGGUUCCUCGAUCCUCACCCAUUGUAGGCUCAUGCGGACCGAGUUCGGUUCAGGGGGAUACAUUUCUCUAUGGCCAUGCGGAGAUGAAAAUCUCACGAAGACAUAGGUACGGAUGUAUCCCGAAAGCGAUUCACUAUCCCAUGCGGAGGUGAAAACCUCACGAAGGCGUAGUUUCUCACUCCCACUUAAAAGGGUAUGACCAACGGUCAUGCAAUGCAAUGUGCAGAGGUAUAAAAUAAAAUACAGAACACGAUAAAAAAAUAUAAUUCAAAACAAAAGAGAUGCAAUGAAAGGAUCGUAAAUUUAAAUCGAAUUUUCCACUUUCAACAAAAAGACAAGAAAUAAUCAACACGUGGCUUGACUCUCUUAUUUUCCCCAGUGGAGUCGCCAAGCUGUUGACACCAUUUUUUUUGACGGAAAACGGGGUCAACUUGGAUUUUGAAAAUAGAAUGAAAACGGAAGUCGCCACCAAUCUUUUUUUGAUGAGGUGUGAUCGGGUCACCUUGUAAAAUGGUUGUUUUUAAUAAACGAUUUGAUUUUGUUAAAACAACGAGUUUGGUCUACGAAAUCCAAAAAAAAAAUGGGUUCGGGAGUCGGUGUCGCACGAGGAAGGAUUAGCACCCUCGAUACGCCCAAAAUUGGUACCUAGUUGAUUGAUCAGUGUCUUAGUGUCGAAAAUUGAAAAUUUGAAGAGUUUAAAAAAAUACGAUCCUUAAAAGAAACUCUGAUAACGUGAAUUGAAAUAUAAGAUUCUCUUGUUUCGAAGAAAUAUCAUAUCCAGCACGUUAGGACACGAUACUCCAAACCAUCGAAACCAAGAUCACCUUAUAAUUUAAUGAAACCAUACUUUGAAGCUUUAAAAGGAUAUUUGGCUAUUUAGUCGAACGAGAAAUCGAAACCCAGCACGUUAGGGCACGUUUUCUCGAUUUUCCAAAUACGGAAUAUUGCCUUUAUUUUCAAAAUUUUAUGUGUUUGGAAAUUUAGAAGGAUAUUUUUGCUAUUUGGGUUUAACGAGAAAAUCGAGACUCAGUAAGUUAGGGUACAAUUUCCCGAAUCCCAAAACGUAAAAUAUUGCCUUAUUUUAGAAUUUUUUGAAUAAUGACGAUUACAACACUUGAACAAGGUGUAUUUGUUUUGUUCGUGAUAAAAUAGACCGGUUUAUUAUCAUGGGUACAUACAAACCAAACAUAACUUUGAAGCGAUGAAAUGAAAUGAAACGAUAAUAGAGAACAUGAAACGAUAAUUCACGAAUAAAAUAUCACGUUAAUAAAUGACAAUAACGUGAAAACAAAUGAACAAAUUACGCGUGCAUAAUGAUAAUAAUCAUACCACAUGCAUCACUUUGACAUGCCAAUAUUAAUAAUCCGAGUAAACGAAAUAAUCGAGAACAAUUUUACGUAGCUAAUAUUAUAAGACAAAUAACAUAUGAGAUCAAUUUAUCUCAAGCAAACAAAAUAUGAAUCUUAAAAUGAAAAAUACUAAUAUAGUUUAAAACAAAUAAAGUGCAAUAAAUAAAAACACAAAACAGUGUCUUUUUCUUUAUCAAAAAUAAAAGAUAAAAAUAAUUAAAAGGUUAAAGGCCAAUACAUAUAUGUGAUAGUUUAAAACAAAUAAUGUAAAUAAAAAAUUUAAAUAAAUAUUAGGUGAUACAUUUAAAAUAAAUAAUAUAUGUAAGACUUAAAAUGCAUAAUAAUAAAGAAGAGUUCUUUAAAAAAAAUAACAAAUGAAUUAAUUAAUAAUAAUUUUAAAAAAUAAUAAUAAAUUAAUUAAACAAAAUAGGACGAAAUUAAAAUCGGGCCCAAAAUUCGAGGUUUAAAUCACAAAUAAAUGAAAGAUGAUGGUUCGGGACCGAAAUGAAACGCGCUCAAGGCUCGAAGGACCUUCAGGGAAAUAUUCCCCAGUCCAAGACGCAGCGUUUCGGCGCAAGGGACUGUACACGGUCAAAGGACCUGAUUGAAACAAAAACAAAAUUCGCAGCCCAAAUCUAAAAGAAACAGAAAGUUGGAUUGUGCCUCAAUGCAAGAUGGGGGGACUAAAUACGUAAAUUUCCCAUUAGAGCAAAACAUGUACAGAUGCCCCCCAUCAAACGGCAUCGUUCAAUGGAUAAUAUAAAUUAAAAAUGUUUUUUUUUAGUUCACUUUUCAGAUUUUCUAAAAGAAAAACAGAGGGGGGCCUCAAUUUUCUUUCUCAACCCCCUCCCCCUUUUCUCAAAUGGCCGACGGUCCUAAGACCUCCGGCGCGCCACCGACAAAGCCAGCGACCGGCGCUGGAAAAUGGGGGCCGUUAGCCCCUGUCCCGCGGCGUCCUUGAGAGCCAAGACUCUCUCCACCCUUGGAAGUCGAAAAUAAAGGAGGUUCUCGGCCUCUUAGCCCGACUUGGACGACGGAGGAGAGACCCUCCGACGACGGAACCAAGACCGCUUCCAGUGAGAUCCCUUCCCUUUUAUUUCGCUUUCAAUUGUUAUUAGUUAUUUAGAAUGGAUUUGCAAAAAAUAAAAAAUAAAGAAAUAAAACAAAUGAACAAAAUCAGAAAAAAGAAAGAAAUGACAAAGAAACGAAGAAAACAAUUCAAAAUCAACCUUUUUCUUUUAUCUUGAUUUUAUUUGAUUUCAAUAUCUGUGUAUUCGUAAAAAAAGUAGAAGAAGAAUACAAUGGUUUCCUUCGGCCUUUUAUAGCCGAUUUAAAAAAGAAAUUAAAUUUCUUCUUUUGUCGUUUUGUUGUUUGGACUGUUCUUUGUUCUUGCAGGAGGUCUGACGCGCGUGAAGGGCUAGUGAUAGGCGAACGGUGGCGGCGAGCAUGCGAGGAGGUGCCUGGCAGAGCACGCGACGCUGGGAGUGGUAGACGAGGAGGCAUGCGGCGCAAAGAAAAACCAAGGUUUUCUGCUGCUAAAAUUUUAGUUUCCUGGACUAGGUUUUUUUAUUUGGGUUUGGGCUUGAGUUUGUAAAUGGACUGUUAAUUUUGGGUUUAUUAUUUGGGUUAUUUUGUUGGUAUAGGCCCGGGCAGAUUUUGGGCUUUACACAAACCAUUCUCAUAAAUUUUCAAAAAUUCAACCUAUUUCUAUAAAAAAUAUUUAAAAAAAAA
rnacentral:lncRNA from 1 species